CGGCAAACGGCGUAGUUAUGCGUAGGUACGUACCCUCAGGUCGGGGAUAGCCACGGGAAACUGUGGGUAAUACCCGAUGAUGUCUGUGGACCAAAGGUGUGAUUCCGCCUGAGGAGCGGCUUACGUGAUAUUAGCUUGAUGGUGGGGUAACGGCCUACCAUGGCGACGAUGUCCAGGGGGGUGUGAGAGCAUGGCCCCCACGACCGGAACUGAGAUACUGUCCGGACACCUACGGGUGGCUGCAGUCGAGAAUCUUCCGCAAUGGGCGAAAGCCUGACGGAGCGACGCCGCGUGCGGGAUGAAGGCCCUUGGGUUGUAAACCGCUGUCAGAGGGGAUGAAAUCAUGGUUGGUUAUCCUUCCAUGUUGACAGAGCCUCAAAGGAAGCACGGGCUAAGUACGUGCCAGCAGCCGCGGUAACACGUACUGUGCGAACGUUAUUCGGAAUCACUGGGCUUAAAGGGUGCGUAGGCGGUUUAUCAAGUCAGAUGUGAAAUGCCUGAGCUCAACUGAGGCACUGCGUUUGAAACUGAUAGACUUGAGUAUUCCAGGGGUAUGCGGAACUGCCAGUGGAGCGGUGAAAUGCGUUGAUAUUGGCAGGAACACCAGUGGCGAAGGCGGCAUACUGAGGGAUAACUGACGCUGAGGCACGAAAGCCAGGGUAGCGAACGGGAUUAGAUACCCCGGUAGUCCUGGCCGUAAACGAUGAGCACUGGG
rnacentral:rRNA from 1 species